GCAGCGCCGAUGUUGGCGCUCAAGGGCGGGAGGGAGGAAGGGCCGAGCUGGAAAGGGCGUGCUGCCCUUUGCAGCUGGCGCUGGGAGCAGCCUGGUCUGCAGCAUUGUUACCUGAGGCAGCGGCCGCGCCCCGCCCCGCGCCGCCCUGCCCCCUCGCGGCCCCGAGCAGCCCUGACUGCAGUGACCCAGGAGGAGGCGACGGCGCUGGGAGACCGCGGGCGGCGGGGAGAGAGGAGCGCGCGCUGGGAGCGCCAGCCGCGGGUCCACAACAAAUGAACAAAAACGAACAUUUAAAGGUCAAUAAAAACACAAGCCACCAAGAUAAGUCAGUGACCGAGUGGAUAAGGGGUAGCCGUGUGGCAGGUGUGAUUCGGGCAGCAUCCCCUUGUGUGUGUGUGUCUCCUCUGCUGGUAGUGUCACAGAAGAAGCAGAAGAGGCACUGAGAAGUUCUGGUGGUUUCCAGAGAGUUAAGCUCCAGAGAGCUUAACCAGAACCCAAAACGAUUGCAUCGGAAGUGACGGUGGAGGUCAGUGCCAACCUCCUAAUUUUACAAAUGAGAAACUCCAAAUCUAGUGAGGCAAAAUGGCUUUUCUAAAAUUGUAAGCAGUAAAGCUUGAUUUAGAGCUGGAACCUUUUAUCUUCAUGUCCGGCGUUCUUUUCUCUAUUUGCGAGGGAGCAGAAUCACCAAGUGUAGGGAGAAGACGAUGGCACUGACUCCAGGGGAAGGAGUUUGGCAAUUAUUUUAUCAUCCCCGAAUGCCCUGCCUAUGAUGUGCAAGGUGGAGGAUGCCCUUUGACCCACUAAUGGGUAGGGGACAUGUCCGUACUGGAAAAAGACAGAGUCACUAGGGCUGCAGCCAUUUGGGUAAUUUCCCCAGGGGUUGGGGAUCCACUGCCCAAAGAAAACGAGCCAGUUAAUGAACAAGUAGCUUGUUCAGAAAGUGAGCAGUACUUGCUGAACCUAUUGUGGGUUCUUGGUAAAUAUGUGUUUUAUUGAUGAAUGGAAGGUUUCCAGGUUGGAUUUAUUGCUGCUGCUUUGGCAGCAUUUCCAGGUAGUAAAAUUUGGUUCACAUUUAGAAAAGUAUUAGUCCCUUUUAGUUCUCUUUUGGAUGUGUGGCCCCUCAUUGAUUUUAAUAUCCAACUAUUCUGGGAGGACUGGCACUGG
rnacentral:lncRNA from 1 species